AUGCAAGAUCGGCGACCUACCCGGCAGAGGACCGCCAGACACAAUAAAUAUCUUGUGCUGGAAUUAUCGAGGGAUUGGCAACGCCCCGGCAGAUUGACAAAGUUUUUGCCUAGAGUACUUUGUAUUGUUGAAACUCAUAUCAGUAGAAAUAGGGCAGAAAGUCUAGCAAGUACUCUAGGUUUUGAUAAUUCUUUUGUUGUUGACUCCUCUGGUAGGAGUGGAGGUUUGGCUAUCUUUUGGAACAAUGAAAUAAAAGUUGAGAACUUGGGCUACUCGAAUUAUCAUAUAGAUAUAUAG
rnacentral:rRNA from 1 species